rnacentral:rRNA from 1 species
UACGGAGGGUGCAAGCGUUAUCCGGAAUCAUUGGGUUUAAAGGGUCCGCAGGCGGGCCUAUAAGUCAGUGGUGAAAUCCCAUCGCUUAACGAUGGAACUGCCAUUGAUACUGUAGGUCUUGAAUUCGGUCGAAGUGGGCGGAAUGUGUCAUGUAGCGGUGAAAUGCAUAGAUAUGACACAGAACACCGAUAGCGAAGGCAGCUCACUAGGCCUGGAUUGACGCUCAGGGACGAAAGCGUGGGGAGCGAACAGG